UACGUAGGGGGCAAGCGUUGUCCGGAAUUAUUGGGCGUAAAGGGCGCGCAGGCGGUCCUUCAAGUCAGAUGUGAAAGCCCCGGGCUCAACCUGGGAACUGCAUUUGAGACUGAAGGACUAGAGUUCGGGAGAGGAUGGUGGAAUUCCCAGUGUAGAGGUGAAAUUCGUAGAUAUUGGGAAGAACACCGGUGGCGAAGGCGGCCAUCUGGACCGAUACUGACGCUGAGGCGCGAAAGCGUGGGGAGCAAACAGG
rnacentral:rRNA from 1 species